rnacentral:miRNA from 1 species
UAUCACAGCCAAUUUGGUCAUC